rnacentral:rRNA from 1 species
GAUGAACGCUAGCGAUAGGCUUAACACAUGCAAGUCGAGGGACCGGCGCACGGGUGCGUAACGCGUAUGCACCUUGCCUCACAGAGGUGGAUAACCCGUCGAAAGACGGACUAAUACCGCGUACUGUGAGAUAGGCAUGCGUCCCAUUAGAUAGUUUGUGAGGUGACGGCUCACCAAGGCAACGAUGGGUAGGGGAACUGAGAGGUUGAACCCCCGCACUGGUAGUGAGAAGCGGACCAGACGCCUACGGGAGGCAGCAGUGAGGAAUAUUGGUCAAUGGGCGAGAGCCUGAACCAGCCAAGUCGCGUGAAGGAUGACUGUCUAUGGAUUGUAAACUUCUUUUGUAGGGGAAUAUGUACCCUACGAAUAAGCAUCGGCUAACUACGUGCCAGCAGCCGCGGUAAUAC